GGCUUUGUGGUGUAAUGGUCAGCACACUGAGCCGGUAUUUCAGAGGUCCGUGGUUCGAUCCCCGGCGAAGGCA
rnacentral:tRNA from 1 species